rnacentral:rRNA from 1 species
AGAGUUUGAUCAUGGCUCAGAUUGAACGCUGGCGGCAUGCCUAACACAUGCAAGUCGAACGGCAGCGCGGGGGCAACCCUGGCGGCGAGUGGCGGACGGGUGAGGAAUACAUCGGAAUCUACCUUCUGGUGGGGGAUAACCAGCCGAAAGGCUGGCUAAUACCGCAUAAGACCGAGAGGUGAAAGCGGGGGACCGAAAGGCCUCGCGCGAGAAGAUGAGCCGAUGUCGGAUUAGCUAGUUGGCGGGGUAAGAGCCCACCAAGGCAACGAUCCGUAGCUGGUCUGAGAGGAUGAUCAGCCACACUGGGACUGAGACACGGCCCAGACUCCUACGGGAGGCAGCAGUGGGGAAUAUUGGACAAUGGGCGCAAGCCUGAUCCAGCAAUGCCGCGUGUGUGAAGAAGGCCUUCGGGUUGUAAAGCACUUUUGCAGGUGACGAGGAAGGACGGUAGCCUGCGAAGAAGUGUCGGCUAACUACGUGCCAGCAGCCGCGGUAAUAC